CAGGAUGAACGCUGGCGGCGUGCUUAACACAUGCAAGUCGAACGAAGCACUCUAUUUGAUUUCCUUCGGGAUUGAUUAUUUUGUGACUGAGUGGCGGACGGGUGAGUAACGCGUGGGUAACCUGCCUUGUACAGGGGGAUAACAGUUGGAAACGGCUGCUAAUACCGCAUAAGCGCACAGUACCGCAUGGUAUAGUGUGAAAAACUCCGGUGGUAUAAGAUGGACCCGCGUUUGAUUAGCUAGUUGGUGAGGUAAUGGCCCACCAAGGCGACGAUCGGUAGCCGGACUGAGAGGUUGAACGGCCACAUUGGGACUGAGACACGGCCCAGACUCCUACGGGAGGCAGCAGUGGGAAUAUUGCACAAUGGGGGAAACCCUGAUGCAGCGACGCCGCGUGGAGGAAGAAGGUCUUCGGAUUGUAAACUCCUGUUGUUGAGGAAGAUAAUGACGGUACUCAACAAGGAAGUGACGGCUAACUACGUGCCAGCAGCCGCGGUAAAACGUAGGUCACAAGCGUUGUCCGGAAUUACUGGGUGUAAAGGGAGCGCAGGCGGGCGAUCAAGUUGGAAGUGAAAUCCAUGGGCUCAACCCAUGAACUGCUUUCAAAACUGAUUGUCUUGAGUAGUGCAGAGGUAGGCGGAAUUCCCGGUGUAGCGGUGGAAUGCGUAGAUAUCGGGAGGAACACCAGUGGCGAAGGCGGCCUACUGGGCACCAACUGACGCUGAGGCUCGAAAGUGUGGGUAGCAAACAGGAUUAGAUACCCUGGUAGUCCACACCGUAAACGAUGAUUACUAGGUGUUGGAGGAUUGACCCCUUCAGUGCCGCAGUUAACACAAUAAGUAAUCCACCUGGGGAGUACGACCGCAAGGUUGAAACUCAAAGGAAUUGACGGGGGCCCGCACAAGCAGUGGAGUAUGUGGUUUAAUUCGACGCAACGCGAAGAACCUUACCAAGUCUUGACAUCCUGCGACGAUGCUAGAAAUAGUAUUUUCCUUCGGGACGCAGAGACAGGUGGUGCAUGGUUGUCGUCAGCUCGUGUCGUGAGAUGUUGGGUUAAGUCCCGCAACGAGCGCAACCCUUAUGGUCAGUUACUACGCAAGAGGACUCUGGCCAGACUGCCGUUGACAAAACGGAGGAAGGUGGGGAUGACGUCAAAUCAUCAUGCCCUUUAUGACUUGGGCUACACACGUACUACAAUGGCGUUAAACAAAGAGAAGCAAGGCCGCGAGGUGGAGCAAAACUCAGAAACAACGUCCCAGUUCGGACUGCAGGCUGCAACUCGCCUGCACGAAGUCGGAAUUGCUAGUAAUCGUGGAUCAGCAUGCCACGGUGAAUACGUUCCCGGGCCUUGUACACACCGCCCGUCACACCAUGAGAGCCGGGGGGACCCGAAGUCGGUAGUCUAACCGCAAGGAGGACGCCGCCGAAGGUAAAACUGGUGAUUGGGGUGAAGUCGUAACAAGGUA
rnacentral:rRNA from 1 species